GGCCCGGAGCUUGCUCCGGACCCCUUAGUGGCGAACGGGUGAGUAACGCGUGGGAACCUGCCCAGGGGCGGGGAAUAACAGUUGGAAACGACUGCUAAUACCGCAUACGUCCUCAGGGAGAAAGGCUUCGGCCACCCUUGGAUGGUCCCGCGUCUGAUUAGCUAGUUGGUGGAGUAACGGUUCACCAAGGCGACGAUCAGUAGCUGGUCUGAGAGGAUGAUCAGCCACACUGGGACUGAGACACGGCCCAGACUCCUACGGGAGGCAGCAGUGGGGAAUAUUGGACAAUGGGCGAAAGCCUGAUCCAGCAAUGCCGCGUGAGUGAAGAAGGCCUUAGGGUUGUAAAACUCUUUCGCCGGUGAAGAUGAUGACUGUAACCGGUAAAGAAGCUCCGGCUAACUCCGUGCCAGCAGCCGCGGUAAUACGGAGGGGGCUAGCGUUGUUCGGAAUUACUGGGCGUAAAGCGCACGUAGGCGGUUUAUCUAGUUAGGCGUGAAAGCCCUGGGCUCAACCCAGGAACUGCGUUUAAUACUGGUAAACUAGAGACCGAGAGAGGAUGGCGGAAUUCCCAGUGUAGAGGUGAAAUUCGUAGAUAUUGGGAAGAACACCGGUUGCGAAGGCGGCCAUCUGGAUCGGAACUGACGCUGAGGUGCGAAAGCGUGGGGAGCGAACAGGAUUAGAUACCCUGGUAGUCCACGCCGUAAACGAUGGGUGCUA
rnacentral:rRNA from 1 species